AAAGUGGAGCCAUCAAUGGAAGUAGGGGAGCAGCAGAUGUGGAGCCAUUGGACGAGGAGGAACAACUCGGGUAACAUGAGGGAAGGGGUGGAUCUGACGGAAGCGGGGGAGCACAGAAGAUGGAGCCAUCUUAUUGACCCGUUUGGCGACCGGCCGGCUAGCCAAUCCCCUUCACUCCCAUCACGUCAUGUAGCUCCGACGGUUGCCUGCCCGCACGGGGAUAGAUGUCUUCGCCGUCACACGUGAGGAUGUUCUUGGACACUCUGUGUUGCUGCUGUUUGUAGUUGCAGAAGUUUUAAGGAGUCAGAGUAGCUUCCACAUCUGUAGUUAGGGCUGACGAUUGUGAUUUUGGGCCUGUACUGAAUAAUUUUGGGACCGGCUAGGUGAUUACAAGCCAGGAGGACUGCAUGUGACGAGUUAAGGGCUUAAGGCACAAGAAGAACUACGGCCAUUUUAGCUCCAGCACUAAGUACACAACCAAUCAACCAUGCAUUUUCAUGACCCAGGUUUCUGAAUUCUGGCUGACAGGCUCCCUACCACAGCCACAUAAUCUCACACAUUCAAAUUGCUAGCUACACAAAAUACGCCCGGAUCUACGAGUAGAAAUCCAAGAGAGCAUGGAACGCUAUAUGGAAGGAGAUGCCAUUGCUACCUCUUGAGCACUACGUUGGUUUUCCCUUGAAGUGGAAAGGGUGAUGCAGCAAAGUAGCGUAAGUAUUUCCCUCAGUUUUUGAGAACCAAGGUAUCAAUCCAGUAGGAGGCUACGCGCGAGUCCCUUGAACCUACACAAAACAAAUAAAUCCUCGCAACCAAUGCGAUAAGGGGUUGUCAAUCCCUACACAGUCAUUUACGAGAGUGAGAUCUGAUAGAUAUGAUAGGAUAAUAUU